GACGAACGCUGGCGGCGUGCUUAACACAUGCAAGUCGAACGGAAAGGCCCCUUUGGGGGUACUCGAGUGGCGAACGGGUGAGUAACACGUGAGUAACCUGCCCUUGACUUCGGGAUAACUUCAGGAAACUGGGGCUAAUACCGGAUAGGAAUCCUUGCUGCAUGGUGGGGGUUGGAAAGCUUCGGCGGUUUUGGAUGGACUCGCGGCUUAUCAGCUUGUUGGUGGGGUAGUGGCUUACCAAGGCUUUGACGGGUAGCCGGCCUGAGAGGGCGACCGGCCACAUUGGGACUGAGAUACGGCCCAGACUCCUACGGGAGGCAGCAGUGGGGUAUAUUGCACAAUGGGCGGAAGCCUGAUGCAGCAACGCCGCGUGCGGGAUGACGGCCUUCGGGUUGUAAACCGCUUUCAGCAGGGGCGAAGCUUGUGGUGACGGUACCUGCAGAAGAAGCACCGGCUAACUACGUG
rnacentral:rRNA from 1 species